CAGUCGCCGCGGUAACACGUUGGUGGCAAGCGUUGUCCGGAAUUAUUGGGCGUAAAGGGCUCGCAGGCGGUUUCUUAAGUCUGAUGUGAAAGCCCCCGGCUCAACCGGGGAGGGUCAUUGGAAACUGGGAAACUUGAGUGCAGAAGAGGAGAGUGGAAUUCCACGUGUAGCGGUGAAAUGCGUAGAGAUGUGGAGGAACACCAGUGGCGAAGGCGACUCUCUGGUCUGUAACUGACGCUGAGGAGCGAAAGCGUGGGGAGCGAACAGGAUUAGAUACCCCAGUAGUCCCUGUCUCUUAUAC
rnacentral:rRNA from 1 species